rnacentral:rRNA from 1 species
AACGCUAGCUACAGGCUUAACACAUGCAAGUCGAGGGGAAACGAUAUUGGAAGCUUGCUUCCGAUAGGCGUCGACCGGCGCACGGGUGAGUAACGCGUAUCCAACCUGCCCAUCACUUGGGGAUAACCUUGCGAAAGUAAGACUAAUACCCAAUGACGUCUCUAGAAGACAUCUGAAAGAGAUUAAAGAUUUAUCGGUGAUGGAUGGGGAUGCGUCUGAUUAGCUUGUUGGCGGGGUAACGGCCCACCAAGGCGACGAUCAGUAGGGGUUCUGAGAGGAAGGUCCCCCACAUUGGAACUGAGACACGGUCCAAACUCCUACGGGAGGCAGCAGUGAGGAAUAUUGGUCAAUGGACGUAAGUCUGAACCAGCCAAGUAGCGUGCAGGAUGACGGCCCUAUGGGUUGUAAACUGCUUUUAUGCGGGGAUAAAGUGGGGGACGCGUCCCUUUUUGCAGGUACCGCAUGAAUAAGGACCGGCUAAUUCCGUGCCAGCAGCCGCGGUAAUACGGAAGGUCCGGGCGUUAUCCGGAUUUAUUGGGUUUAAAGGGAGCGUAGGCCGGCUUUUAAGCGUGUUGUGAAAUGCCGCGGCUCAACCGUGGCACUGCAGCGCGAACUGGAGGCCUUGAGUGCGCGGGAGGUAGGCGGAAUUCGUGGUGUAGCGGUGAAAUGCUUAGAUAUCACGAAGAACUCCGAUUG